rnacentral:lncRNA from 1 species
UGUGAUUUAAUGAAAUGAUUUCAUAAAAUUGUUUUAAAAUUGAAUAAUGGCUUUGAAAAUAGAGUAAUUGGAGACCAUUUGAUGUAUUGUGAAUUUAUGGUUCUAAUUGAUUGGCUUAUGACAAUAUUGGCAUGAAUGACUAAAUUGGUAUUUGUGUUCAAAUGUAUAAACUGUUGUUUGCCUUGAUAGGCUGGAUAAUGAUAAAAUUGCCAUGUUAUGCUGUUGAAUUUUUAUUAUAUGGUGGGUUU